rnacentral:rRNA from 1 species
CCUACGGGGGGCUGCAGUGAGGAAUAUUGCACAAUGGAGGAAACUCUGAUGCAGCAACGCCGCGUGGAGGAUGACGCAUUUCGGUGUGUAAACUCCUUUUAUGAGUCAAGAAAAUGACGGUAGCUCAUGAAUAAGCACCGGCUAACUCCGUGCCAGCAGCCGCGGUAAUACGGAGGGUGCAAGCGUUAUUCGGAAUCACUGGGCGUAAAGGACGCGUAGGCGGGAUGCCAAGUCUGAUGUGAAAUCCUAUGGCUUAACCAUAGAACUGCAUUGGAAACUGGCAACCUAGAGUAUGGGAGGGGGAGAUGGAAUUAGUGGUGUAGGGGUAAAAUCCGUAGAUAUCACUAGGAAUACCGAAAGCGAAGGCGAUCUCCUGGAACAUAACUGACGCUAAGGCGUGAAAGCGUGGGGAGCAAACGGGAUUAGAUACCCCUGUAGUC